rnacentral:rRNA from 1 species
UGGGGGAUAUUGCACAAUGGGGGAAACCCUGAUGCAGCGACGCCGCGUGGAGGAAGAAGGUUUUCGGAUUGUAAACUCCUGUCGUUAGGGACGAUAAUGACGGUACCUAACAAGAAAGCACCGGCUAACUACGUGCCAGCAGCCGCGGUAAAACGUAGGGUGCAAGCGUUGUCCGGAAUUACUGGGUGUAAAGGGAGCGCAGGCGGGAAGACAAGUUGGAAGUGAAAACCAUGGGCUCAACCCAUGAAUUGCUUUCAAAACUGUUUUCUUGAGUAGUGCAGAGGUAGAUGGAAUUCCCGGUGUAGCGGUGGAAUGCG